GGGUGCGUAACGCGUAUAGAACCUACCUUUUACAGAGGAAUAGCCUUUAGAAAUGAAGAUUAAUGCCUCAUAGUAUUGAGUAUUCGCAUGAAUAUUUAAUUAAAGAUUUAUCGGUAAAAGAUGGCUAUGCGUCCUAUUAGUUAGUUGGUAAGGUAACGGCUUACCAAGACAGCGAUAGGUAGGGGUCCUGAGAGGGAGAUCCCCCACACUGGUACUGAGACACGGACCAGACUCCUACGGGAGGCAGCAGUGAGGAAUAUUGGACAAUGGAGGAGACUCUGAUCCAGCCAUGCCGCGUGUAGGAAGAAUGCCCUAUGGGUUGUAAACUACUUUUAUACAGGAAGAAACACUGGUAUGUAUACCAGCUUGACGGUACUGUAAGAAUAAGGACCGG
rnacentral:rRNA from 1 species